ACCUGGUUCCACUGCUCAACGCUGGGACAGGCGACUUUUAAACUCUUCAAACAAGGCUUGUGGCACUUUUUUCAUGGCUCAGGAGAAUCCUGAACCUCACAGAAGCAACACAAGAGAAUCCUGAACCUCACAGAAACCUCUGGGAGCUGCUACACGAAACCAUUGAGCGCAGCUGGAAAAUAAUGCCAGGGCCCAGAGGAAUCUCCUGCUCGGCGUGGCGAGCCCGUGGAUUCCCACAGAAAAUAGGGAAUGCUCAAGAGGAUCCAUUGCCUUUUUGCCAGGCUUGGAUUAAUGGCAGCCUCACCCUUGUGACACCAGCUGGGCUGAGAAACAUCAGAGGUGGCAUUUCCGGGGAUUCACAUGAGGAAAGGUGCUGGAGAACAAACUCCAGGAAGCAAAUAGCUCUUCUCCUCCUCACCAACACCUCUGCAAGCCCUUCAAGAAGGUCAGGAUGAAGAGAGUGUGGGAUUGGCAUUCCUGAGAUUCUGGAGAGAUGAAAACCCAAAGAGAAAAAGCUCCCUGCUUUUCAGACACCGUGAAUUAAGGAAUAUUCCCUUUUUUUUAAUCCCUGUUUUUCAUACACCUUUCAAUUCUAAUGAUGCUGAGCAGGGUGUUAAGGGAAAACUGAAGGAGAACCUGGGGAUUUAGGACUGAGAAAUGUUCCCUGAGAAUAAAAUCAAAGAUGUACCAGAGAGGGACAGAGGAGGUUCUGCCUGUCCCCUCCUCACCCUCGGCUGGAAAUCAAAGGUUUGAAACCCCUUGGAAUUGAAGAUUUCCUCUGUCACAGGACGGGGGAAAACUUCUGCUCGCCAUCCCUGAUCCCAGCCCCAUCCUCUGCUCGUUAAAACAAUCCCCGAGCACCAAUUUGCGCUGAUCAAUUUCUGUGUGAGCUCCGGAGAGGAGCGAGUAGCUGGCUCGGUCUCUUCCACAUCAAGAGAUUAAGUGAACCAGUCAAAACAAAUCCAGCUUCACUUCCCAGCAGACGGAAGAGCUGCUCCUUUUUAACCCUUCCCACCCUGCCGUGCCUUUCCCAGGGGGGGAAUUCCUUCCAUCAUCCUCAGCCUGCCUUUAAACUCCAUUUAAACCAGCACCGGGAGCACUGGGUAUUUUUAUUAUUAUAGGUAAAUAAAUAAUUUAAUGUCCAACAUCCCUUCUUUUCCGUGUCAGAAUGAAAUUAGGAACAGAAUUCAAAAAGCAGAUUAGAAAUGCAGAUUUUUUUUUUCCCACCCCAAAUCUAUGCUCGAAUGGAUUUCCUUCCCACCCAGCAGCAGCAGCAGCAGCAGCCAAAGGGUUAAAUUGGCACGAUUUGUCUCUUUUCCAGCAUUAACGAGUCCCCAUCCCACAUUUGGCUGCUUCUUGCACAGCUCCUGCCCUUGGAUGCGAUUACAGCCGCCCAACCAGUCGGACUGGAUUCCCCUCGCUUCUCCUUCGCUCUCCCCGCAGCUUUCCCCCUCGCCGGGGCCUUCCCCACCACAACAAUGUCACCGCGGGGACUGGGUGACAUCAGGCCGAGCUGGAUCGGUUUGCAGUUCAUCCCUGAGUGCACACGCACAAAUACCAGGCUGGCAUCAGGAGAGGCCCCUCUGCUGCUGCUGGCUCCAGCUGGAGAGGGACAGGGCCCAGGUGGGGAUCCCUGUGCUUGCAAAAUUAGGAGUGGGUUCUCCAGAAGACAAACAAGGUUCCCCUCCUGUUGGAACCUGUUGGAAGCCUGGAUGCUGAGAAUUUUAAACUUCCUGUGCUAAAAGGCACAGACCCGCAAAAGAACACUGCAUUUUUCCAAAAUUAGUUAAUAAAAUUGGGAUUAUGAGGCUGUAGUUGGGUAGAGGUGUGUGAUAUCACAAGGUAGAAAAGUUAGGGUUUAGGGUUUUAGGAUAUAGAAAUAAAGAUGCAGCAAGAUGGAGGUUUUAUGGUGGAGACAGGUUAUUUUUCUUUACCUUCUACUUCCAAAUUUGUUUGGAAUUAUGUGUCUGUAGUUGGGUAGAGGUGUGUGAUAUCACAAGGUAUAAAACUUAGAGCUUAGGGUUUUAGGAUGUGGAAAUAAAGAUGAAGCAAGAUGGAGGUUUUAGGGUGGAGACAGGUCAUUCUUCUUCACCUUCUUCUUCCAAACUUGAUUGGGGUUAUGAGUCUGUAGUUGGGUAGAGGUGUGUGAUAUCACGAGGUGGAAAACUUAGAGUUUAGGGUUUUAGAAUACAGAAAUAAAGAUGAAACAAGAUGGAGGUUUUAUGGUGGAGACAGGUCACUCUUCUUCACCUUCUCCUUCCAAAUUUGAUCAAUAAAAUUGGGGUUAUGAGUGUGUAGUUGGUUAGAGGUAUGUAAUAUCACGAGGUGGAAAAGUUAGAGUUCAGGGUUUUAGGAUGUAGGAAAAAAGACGAAGCAAGAUGGAGGUUUUAUGAUGGAGACAGGUCAUUCUUCUUCACCUUCUCCUUCCAAAUUUGAUCAAUAAAAUUGGGAUUACGAGUGUGUAGUUGGUUAGAGGUGUGUGAUAUCACAAGGUAUAAAACUUAGUGUUUAGGGUUUUAGAAUAUAGAAAUAAAGAUGAAGCAAGAUGGAGGUUUUAGGGUGGAGACAGGUCACUCUUCUUUACCUUCUACUUCCAAAUUUGAUUGGAAUUAUGUGUCUGUAGUUGGGUAGAGGUGUGUGAUAUCACAAGGUAGAAAAGUUAGGGUUUAGGGUUUUAGGAUAUAGAAAUAAAGAUGAAGCAAGAUGGAGGUUUUAUGGUGGAGACAGGUCAUUCUUCUUCACCUUCUCCUUCCAAAUUUGAUCAAUAAAAUUGGGAUUAUGAGUGUGUAGUUGGUUAGAGGUGUGUGAUAUCACAAGGUAGAAAAGUUAGAGUUUAGGAUUUUAGGAUGUAGGAAAAAAGAUGAAACAAGAUGGAGGUUUUAGGGUGGAGACAGGUCAUUCUUCUUCACCUUCUUCUUCCAAACUUGAUUGGGGUUAUGAGUCUGUAGUUGGGUAGAGGUGUGUGAUAUCAUGAGGUGGAAAACUUAGAGUUUAGGGUUUUAGAAUACAGAAAUAAAGAUGCAGCAAGAUGGAGGUUUUAUGGUGGAGACAGGUCAUUCUUCUUCCCCUUCUCCUUCCAAAUUUGAUCAAUAAAAUUGGGAUUAUGAGUGUGUAGUUGGUUAGAGGUGUGUAAUAUCACAAGGUGGAAAACUUUGAGUUUAGUGUUUUAGGAUAUAGAAAUAAAGAUGCAGCAAGAUGGAGGUUUUAUGGUGGAGACAGGUCACUCUUCACCUUCUCCUUCCAAAAUUGACUGGGGUUAUGAGUCUGUAGUUGGGUAGAGGUGUGUGAUAUCGUGAGGUGGAAAAGUUAGAGUUUAGGGUUUUAGGAUGUGGAAAUAAAGAUGAAGCAAGAUGGAGGUUUUAGGGUGGAGACAGGUCAUUCUUCUUCACCUUCUCCUUCCAAAAUUGAUUUGGGUUAUGAGUCUGUAGUUGGUUAGAGGUGUGUGAUAUCACAAGGUAGAAAAAUUAGAGUUUAGGGUUUUAGGAUGUAGAAAAAAAGAUGAUGCAAGAUGGAGGUUUUAUGGUGGAGACAGGUCAUUCUUCUUCACCUUCUCCUUCCAAAUUUGAUUGGAAUUAUGAGUCUGUAGUUGGGUAGAGGUGUGUGAUAUCACGAGGUGGAAAACUUAGAGUUUAGGAUUUUAGAAUGUAGGAAAAAAGAUGAUGCAAGAUGGAGGUUUUAGGCUGGAGACAGGUCAUUCUUCUUCACCUUUUCCUUCCAAAAUUGAUUAAUAAAAUUUGGAUUAUGAGUCUGUAGUUGUUUAGAGGUGUGUAAUAUCAUGAGGUAGAAAAGUUAGAGUUUAGGGUUUUAGGAUGUGGAAAUAAAGAUGAAGCAAGAUGGAGGUUUUAGGGUGGAGACAGGUCAUUCUUCUUCACCUUCUCCUUCCUUCUUCUUCAUGGGUUUGGGUGGUAUUUUGUAAUUGGACAAAAAAUCUGCAAUGUGAACUUUGAAGGAUCAAUUAUUGAGUUAAAAGGGAAAAUAAUCUAAGUCUCAUUUCUUAAUUAGAUAGUUGAAUCUUAAAAGACCUUAUAACAAGAAAUAGUUAAUAAUUUUAUACCUUACUAAUAAAAGACUACAAAACUCACAAUAAUAAAACUGUAACACUAAUAAAAACAAUAAACACAAA